rnacentral:lncRNA from 1 species
AUACAGGCAACAGUCUCAGAGCUCCAUUGAACCAACCGUACAGGCAACAGUCUCAGAGCUCCAUUGAACCAACCUUACAGACAACAGUCUCAGAGCUCCAUUGAACCAACCGUACAGACAACAGUCUCAGAGCUCCAUUGAACCAACCAUACAGGCAACAGUCUCAGAGCUCCAUUGAACCAACCAUACAGGCAACAGUCUCAGAGCUCCAUUGAACCAACCAUACAGGCAACAGUCUCAGAGCUCCAUUGAACCAACCAUACAGGCAACAGUCUCAGAGGAAAAGAGGGUUUGUGUUCCAACUACAGGAAUAUCAGUCAGGAAAUGUGACAAGAUCUGGUCUCUCUUCCAUUGGACCUGACUGUAUAUGUAAUGUACCCAGACUUUUCUUGAGAAGUUAUGCUAGUAAAACAUAG